GACACUGUGGCAUAGUGGUUUGAGUGUCAGACUAGGACUCUGGAGACCAGGGUUCGUUCCUCAGCUCAGCCA